rnacentral:rRNA from 1 species
GCAUAUCAAUAAGCGGAGGAAAAGAAACCAACAGGGAUUGCCCCCAGUAACGGCGAGUGAAGCGGCAAGAGCUCAAAUUUGAAAUCUGGCCUCCUCCGGGGGUCCGAGUUGUAAUUUGCAGAGGAUGCUUCGGGUGCGGCCCCCGUCUAAGUUCCUUGGAACAGGACGUCAGAGAGGGUGAGAAUCCCGUCUUGGGCGGGCGGCCCGCGCCCGUGUGAAGCUCCUUCGACGAGUCGAGUUGUUUGGGAAUGCAGCUCUAAGCGGGUGGUAAAUUUCAUCUAAAGCUAAAUACUGGCCGGAGACCGAUAGCGCACAAGUAGAGUGAUCGAAAGGUUAAAAGCACCUUGAAAAGGGAGUUAAACAGCACGUGAAAUUGUUGAAAGGGAAGCGCUUGCGGCCAGACUCGGGGGCGGGGUUCAGCGGGCGCUCGUCGCCCGUGCACUCCCCGCGCCCCGGGCCAGCAUCAGUUUCGACGGCCGGUCAAAGGCCCCCGGAAUGUGUCGUCUCUAGGGACGUCUUAUAGCCGGGGGUGCAAUGCGGCCCGUCGGGACUGAGGAACGCGCUCCGGCUCGGAUGCUGGCGUAAUGGCCGUAAGCGGCCCGUCUUGAAACACGGACCAAGGAGUCUAACAUCCACGCGAGUGUUCGGGUGUCAAACCCGUGCGCGCAGUGAAAGCGAACGGAGGUGGGAGCCUUUGGGCGCACCAUCGACCGAUCCUGAAGUCUUCGGAUGGAUUUGAGUAGGAGCGUGGCCGUUGGGACCCGAAAGAUGGUGAACUAUGCCUGAAUAGGGUGAAGCCAGAGGAAACUCUGGUGGAGGCUCGCAGCGGUUCUGACGUGCAAAUCGAUCGUCAAAUUUGGGCAUAGGGGCGAAAGACUAAUCGAACCAUCUAGUAGCUGGGUUCCUGCCGA